GAUGAACGUUGGCGGUGUGCCUAAUACAUGCAAGUCGAACGGAGUUAAUAGCAAUAUUGACUUAGUGGCGAACGGGUGAGUAACGCGUUGGUGAUCUGCCUUGAAGUGUGGAAUAACGCUCCGAAAGGAGCGCUAAUACCGCAUGUGCUCUCAAUUUUUAGAAAGUUGAGAGGAAAGGAUUUAUUCGCUUCGAGAGGAGCCUGCGUCCCAUCAGCUGGUUGGUAGGGUAAAGGCCUACCAAGGCAAUGACGGGUAGGGGACCUGAGAGGGUGGCCCCCCACAAUGGAACUGAAACACGGUCCAUACACCUACGGGUGGCAGCAGUAGGGAAUAUUAGAAAUGGACGAAAGUCUGAUCUAGCAACACCGCGUGUGCGAAGAAGGCCUUGGGUCGUAAAGCACUUUUUGGAAGGAAUAGGAAGGAAUGUACUUCCAGAAUAAGUCUCGGUCUAACUACGUGCCAGCGAGCCGCGGUAAACUGUAGUCGU
rnacentral:rRNA from 1 species